rnacentral:rRNA from 1 species
UUGGCGGCGUGGAUUAGGCAUGCAAGUCGAGCGCGAACCGUAGCAAGUACGGGGAGAGCGGACGAAAGGGAGAGGAAUACGUGGAUAUCUACCCUCAGGUUCAGGAUAGCUAGUGGGAAACUAUAGGUAAUACUGAAUAAUAUCUCCGGAUCAAAGGUGUGAUUCCACCUGAGGAGGGGUCCGCGUCCUAUUAGCUAGUUGGUGAGGUAACGGCUCACCAAGGCGAAGAUGGGUACGGGAUGUGAGAGCAUGAUCCCGCUCACUGGGACUGAGACACUGCCCAGACACCUACGGGUGGCUGCAGUCGAGAAUCUUCGGCAAUGGGGGAAACCCUGACCGAGCGACGCCGCGUGCGAGAUGAAGGCCUUCGGGUUGUAAAUCGCUGUCAGUGGGGAGGAAAUGCCAGUGGGUUAUCCCAUUGGUUUGACCUAUCCGCAGAGGAAGGACGGGCUAAGUUCGUG